UUGUACUACGGGGGGCAGCAGUAGGGAAUCUUCCACAAUGGGCGAAAGCCUGAUGGAGCAACGCCGCGUGGGUGAAGAAGGUCUUCGGAUCGUAAAACCCUGUUGUUAGAGAAGAAAGUGCGUGAGAGUAACUGUUCACGUUUCGACGGUAUCUAACCAGAAAGCCACGGCUAACUACGUGCCAGCAGCCGCGGUAAUACGUAGGUGGCAAGCGUUAUCCGGAUUUAUUGGGCGUAAAGCGAGUGCAGGCGGUUCUAUAAGUC
rnacentral:rRNA from 1 species